UACGAAGGGUGCAAGCGUUAUUCGGAAUUAUCGGGCGUAAAGCGUGCGUAGGCGGUUCGUUAAGUCUGUCGUGAAAGCCCCGGGCUCAACCUGGGAAUGGCGAUGGAUACUGGCGGGCUAGAGUGCGGUAGAGGAGAGUGGAAUUCCCGGUGUAGCAGUGAAAUGCGUAGAGAUCGGGAGGAACAUCAGUUGCGAAGGCGGCUCUCUGGACCAGCACUGACACUGAGGCACGAAAGCGUGGGGAGCAAACAGG
rnacentral:rRNA from 1 species